GAAGCAAAUGUGCCGAGAAAAAAUUACAAGAUUCUAUAACUCACAUCAUUUUUUUUCAUCAACCAUCUUCAUAGCAUCAUAGACACUUUGAUUUUUUAAUUUCUUGUUUAAGGUUGGUAUUGUUGACAUUGUUGUGUUGAAUGACGAUUAUGACUUUGACGUUUAUUGAAAAAAAUCAACACUAAAAAAUAAAAAAGCUUGCUUACCGUAAUCUUCAUUUUUAAAUCUAAAUUUGAGAUAUAUUCCGUAAUUGUUAUAACGGUCCUUUAAAUGGUCAUCAUGUUACCAUUUUAUCUACUGUAAACAAAUUACCAACGUUUCCAUGGAGUGUAGUUGUAAGCCGAUUCAUAUCUGACCUCGUACGGGACGAACCGCAGAAAUCCGCGACAAGGACUAUCAUAUAAUUUGUUUAGGUGUAACGUGUAGCAUUUGGCUUUGAAAUAGGCUGACGCGAGAGACUACAAUAUUUUGUAGCAAAUACACACAAGUGCGUGAUGUCGGGCGAGACCCCCAUCCAGUCGGCCGAAGGGCUCCACACGCCUGCGUACCUGUCAUGGAGGAAGCUGCA
rnacentral:misc_RNA from 1 species